rnacentral:rRNA from 1 species
CCUACGGGAGGCAGCAGUGAGGAAUAUUGGUCAAUGGCCGGAAGGCUGAACCAGCCAUGCCGCGUGAAGGUCAGUGCCCUAUGGGCGUUAAACUUCUUUUGUGCGGGAGCAAUAAUGGUCACGUGUGGCCAGACGAGAGUACCGUACGAAUAAGCAUCGGCUAACUCCGUGCCAGCAGCCGCGGUAAUACGGGGGAUGCAAGCGUUAUCCGGAUUUAUUGGGUUUAAAGGGUGCGUAGGCUGUGAGGUAAGUCAGCGGUGAAAUGCCCCCGCUCAACGGGGUGAAGUGGCAUUGAUACUGCCGUGCUGGAAUGUGGAUGCCGUGGGAGGAAUGUGUGGUGUAGCGGUGAAAUGCAUAGAUAUCACACAGAACACCGAUUGCGAAGGCGGGUUCCUGGACAGUAACUGACGCUGAGGCACGAAGGCCAGGGGAGCGAAAGGGAUUAGAUACCCGGGUAGUC